rnacentral:tRNA from 1 species
GGAGAGGUACCGAAGUGGCCAUAACGGGCUCGACUCGAAAUCGAGUAGGGGGCUUCCCCCACGUGGGUUCGAAUCCCACCCUCUCCG